rnacentral:rRNA from 1 species
UCUAUUGUAGCAAUACGACGGAAAGUUUAGUGGCGAUCGGGUGCGUAACACGUGGGCAAUCUGCCUUAAAGUGUGGAAUAGCUCGGCGAAAGCCGAAUUAAUACCGCAUGUGGCUACUGGAGACAUCUUCGGGACGCUAAAGGUGGCGCAAGCUACCGCUUUUUGAGGAGCCCGCGGCCUAUCAGCUUGUUGGUGAGGUAACGGCUCACCAAGGCGUUGACGGGUAGCUGGUCUGAGAGGACGACCAGCCACACUGGGACUGAGACACGGCCCAGACACCUACGGGUGGCAGCAGUCGAGAAUUUUUGACAAUGGGGGAAACCCUGAUCGAGCGACGCCGCGUGGAGGAUGAAGGUCUUCGGGUUGUAAACUCCUGUCAUUUGGGAACAAGGCGUAUUUAUUAACUGUAAGUGCGUUGAUAGUACCAGAAGAGGAAGAGACGGCUAACUCUGUGCCAGCAGCCGCGGUAAUACAGAGGUCUCAAGCGUUGUUCGGAUUCAUUGGGCGUAAAGGGUGUGUAGGUGGCGCGCUAAGUCGGGUGUGAAAUUUCGGAGCUUAACUCCGAAACUGCAUUCGAUACUGGCGUGCUUGAGGACUGGAGAGGAGACUGGAAUUCACGGUGUAGCA